GGAAAAAGAAGAGUGGCGAACGGGUGAGUAACACGUGGGUAACCUGCCCAUCAGAAGGGGAUAACACUUGGAAACAGGUGCUAAUACCGUAUAACAAUCGAAACCGCAUGGUUUUGAUUUGAAAGGCGCUUUCGGGUGUCGCUGAUGGAUGGACCCGCGGUGCAUUAGCUAGUUGGUGAGGUAACGGCUCACCAAGGCUACGAUGCAUAGCCGACCUGAGAGGGUGAUCGGCCACAUUGGGACUGAGACACGGCCCAAACUCCUACGGGAGGCAGCAGUAGGGAAUCUUCGGCAAUGGACGAAAGUCUGACCGAGCAACGCCGCGUGAGUGAAGAAGGUUUUCGGAUCGUAAAACUCUGUUGUUAGAGAAGAACAAGGAUGAGAGUAACUGUUCAUCCCUUGACGGUAUCUAACCAGAAAGCCACGGCUAACUACGUGCCAGCAGCCGCGGUAAUACGUAGGUGGCAAGCGUUGUCCGGAUUUAUUGGGCGUAAAGCGAGCGCAGGCGGUUUCUUAAGUCUGAUGUGAAAGCCCCCGGCUC
rnacentral:rRNA from 1 species